GUCCAAGAUACAAUUGGAAAGUUUUACUUUAACCAAAUGAUCAAGAUGAUGGGGCAUUUCACCUUAGUGUGAGUGCCUUGUAACUUAAUUGAAAAGUCUUAAUGACUGUGAAAUGAUGUGAUAGUAAAAUGUUCAUUAUAUACACAGACAAGGCGUAUUUCAUAAUCUCUUUAUCAGGGAUGCAUUUAAGCUCACA
rnacentral:misc_RNA from 2 species